rnacentral:lncRNA from 7 species
AGGCUUCUGUAACUUAUAAAAUGGCGGCGUCCACAUGUAUACGUCCUUCCCGGGAUUAGCCAGGCAGCUAGAGGAUGACUUAAUAAGGAGAGUGGAGAAACUGGCCAAUUAAUGAACAUGCCCUGAUCAUUAAUCCACCACUGAAGGAAGUCAGAGCAGAAACUCAAGCAGGGACUUGAAGAAGAAACCAUGGAGGAAUACGGCUUGCUGGCUCACCUAAGGAAGACCACUGAAGCCACCGCAGACAGCAGAACCUCAAUCAGCUUGAAAGAGAAUGGGCUCAACAAAAGAGCAAACUGUCAACAGUGAUGAUGAGGUGCAACAUUCAACUUCACAGUUCUUGGAAUCGAAACCUUCAACAGUACGCUUGGUCAUUUGACUUGAAGUUCAGUUGAAAUUAUACCGUCAGAGAAGAAAGAAGAACAAGAAAACAAAACCUAACAACAACAAAAAACCUGGAAUAUGAAUGUAGCUCUGUGGAGACCAGGGAAGGCCUUAAGUGAAGUUCCAAGUUCAUGUGCACUGCUGGCACUGAAGGUUGCCACCAAAACAGCAGAUCAAUGACCACAGCCUCAGACCCAUGGAGAAAUGACAGAGCCUUCUCCUUAGGGACACUUCCAGCGUGUGGAGAAAAUGUGGACCUCUACAGAGAAUGCUCCUAUUGAGAUUACGAAAAUGCAGCCUGGGAGUCCACAAUAUAUUUGGACUGUCAGAACAUAGAACCCGAAGCUACCAAAUGACGUUGCUAUGACUAUAGUGGAACAUGUUUCCUUAGUGUAUUCUGGGGCAUCUUUUGGAUAUAUGCCCAGUAGCUGGGACUUCAGGUGGAACUAUUUUCACUUUUCUGAGGAACCACCAGACAGAUUUUCCAGAGUGGCUGCACAAAUUUACAAUCUCACCAGCAACGGAGCAGUGUUCCCCUUUCUCCACAUCCUCAACAGCAUGUACUGUCACUCGAGUUUUUGAUCUUAGCCAUUCUGAUUUGCAUUUCUGUGGUGACUAAGCAUGUUGAACAUUUAAGUUCUCAGCCAUCUGGGCUUUCUCUCUCAUUAAAAAAAUAACUUUUAUCUGCAUUUAU